rnacentral:rRNA from 1 species
AAUCAACGCUGGCGGCGUGCCUAACACAUGCAAGUCGCACGAGAAAGCGGACUUCGGUCUGUGAGUACAGUGGCGCACGGGUGAGUAACACGUGAAUCAUCUACCUUCGAGUGGGGAAUAACUGGGAGAAAUCUCAGCUAAUACCGCAUAACACCUACGGGUCAAAGCAGCAAUGCGCUUGAAGAGGAGUUCGCGGCAGAUUAGUUAGUUGGCGGGGUAAUGGCCCACCAAGACGAUGCUCUGUAUCCGGCCUAAGAGGGCGCACGGACACACUGGAACUGAAACACGGUCCAGACGCCUACGGGAGGCAGCAGUGGGGAAUUUUGCGCAAUGGGGGAAACCCUGACGCAGCAACGCCGCGUGGAGGAUGAAAUCCCUUGGGGUGUAAACUCCUUUCGAUCGGGACGAUUAUGGCGGUACCGAUAGAAGAAGCCCCGGCUAACUUCGUGCCAGCCGCCGCGGUAA